AUUUUAUAUCAGUAAGAGCCCUGAGAGAUGAUCAGGUAGAUAGGUUAGAAGUGGAAGUGUGGCGACACAUGUAGCGGACUAAUACUAAUAGCUCGAGGACUUAUCCAAA
rnacentral:rRNA from 1 species